rnacentral:rRNA from 1 species
CUUGGUCAUUUAGAGGAAGUAAAAGUCGUAACAAGGUCUCCGUAGGUGAACCUGCGGAGGGAUCAUUACAAGUGACCCCGGCUACGGCCGGGAUGUUCAUAACCCUUUGUUGUCCGACCCUGUUGCCUCCGGGGCGACCCUGCCUUCGGGCGGGGGCUCCGGGUGGACACUUCAAACUCUUGCGUAACUUUGCAGUCUGAGUAAACUUAAUUAAUAAAUUAAAACUUUUAACAACGGAUCUCUUGGUUCUGGCAUCGAUGAAGAACGCAGCGAAAUGCGAUAAGUAAUGUGAAUUGCAGAAUUCAGUGAAUCAUCGAAUCUUUGAACGCACAUUGCGCCCCCUGGUAUUCCGGGGGGCAUGCCUGUUCGAGCGUCAUUUCACCACUCAAGCCUCGCUUGGUAUUGGGCAACGCGGUCCGCCGCGUGCCUCAAACCGUCCGGCUGGGUCUUCUGUCCCCUAAGCGUUGUGGAAACUAUUCGCUAAAGGGUGUUCGGGAGGCUACGCCGUAAAACAACCCCAUUUCUAAGGUUGACCUCGGAUCAGGUAGGGAUACCCGCUGAACUUAAGCAUAUCAAUAAGCGGAGGA